rnacentral:rRNA from 1 species
UACGGAGGUGGCUAGCGUUACUCGGAUUUACUGGGUGUAAAGGGUAUGUAGGCGGGCUUGUAAGUCAGGCGUGAAAUCCCUUGGCUCAACCAAGGAAUGGCGCUUGAUACUGCUUGUCUUGAGUGCGGGAGAGGAGAACGGAAUUCCCGGUGUAAGGGUGAAAUCUGUAGAGAUCGGGAGGAACACCAGUGGCGAAAGCGGUUCUCUGGUCCGUAACUGACGCUGAAAUACGAAAGCUUGGGGAGCAAAC